rnacentral:rRNA from 1 species
AAUGGGCGCAAGCCUGAUCCAGCCAUACCGCGUGUGUGAAGAAGGCCUUCGGGUUGUAAAGCACUUUAAGUAAGGAAGAAAAGAGUAUUGUUAAUACCAAUACUCCGUGACAUUACUUACAGAAUAAGGACCGGCUAAUUCCGUGCCAGCAGCCGCGGUAAUACGGAAGGUCCAAGCGUUAAUCGGAAUUACUGGGCGUAAAGCGCGCGUAGGUGGUUUAUUAAGUUGGGUGUGAAAGCCCCGGGCUCAACCUGGGAACUGCAUCCAAAACUGAUUCACUAGAGUACGAAAGAGGAAAGUAGAAUUCACAGUGUAGUGGUGGAAUGCGUAGAUAUUGUGAAGAAUACCGAUGGCGAAGGCAGCUUUCUGGUUCUGUACUGACACUGAGGUGCGAAAGCGUGGGUAGCGAACAGGAUU